rnacentral:rRNA from 1 species
AUUGAACGCUGGCGGCAGGCCUAACACAUGCAAGUCGAGCGGAGCGGCGGACGGGUGAGUAAUGACUAGGAAUCUGCCUGGUAGUGGGGGAUAACGUCCGGAAACGGGCGCUAAUACCGCAUACUAUCAGAUGAGCCUAGGUCGGAUUAGCUAGUUGGUGGGGUAACGGCCUACCAAGGCGACGAUCCGUAACUGGCCUGAGAGGAUGAUCAGUCACACUGGAACUGAGACACGGUCCAGACUCCUACGGGGGGCAGCAGGGGGAAAUAUUCGACAAGGGGGGAAAGCCUGAUCAAGCACUUCGGCGUGUGUGAAGAAGGUUUUCGGAUGGUAAAGCACUUUAAGUUGGGAGACGUUACCAACAGAAUAAGCAACGGCUAACUUCGUGCCAGCCGCCGCGGUAAUAC